rnacentral:rRNA from 1 species
UACGAAGGGGGCUAGCGUUGUUCGGAAUUACUGGGCGUAAAGGGCGCGUAGGCGGUGUGUCAAGUCAGGCGUGAAAGCCCCGGGCUCAACCUGGGAACCGCGCUUGAGACUGGCACGCUAGAGUUCGGGAGAGGAUGGUGGAAUUCCCAGUGAUAGAGGUGAAAUUCGUAGAUAUUGGGAAGAACACCGAUGGCGAAGGCAGCCAUCUGGACCGACACUGACGCUGAGGCGCGAAAGCGUGGGGAGCAAACAGG